rnacentral:rRNA from 1 species
AACGGGUGGUAAUGCCGGAUGCUCCAGUUGAUCGCAUGGUCUUCUGGGAAAGCUUUCGCGGUAUGGGAUGGGGUCGCGUCCUAUCAGCUUGACGGCGGGGUAACGGCCCACCGUGGCUUCGACGGGUAGCCGGCCUGAGAGGGCGACCGGCCACAUUGGGACUGAGAUACGGCCCAGACUCCUACGGGAGGCAGCAGUGGGGAAUAUUGCACAAUGGGCGCAAGCCUGAUGCAGCGACGCCGCGUGAGGGAUGGAGGCCUUCGGGUUGUAAACCUCUUUUAUCGGGGAGCAAGCGAGAGUGAGUUUACCCGUUGAAUAAGCACCGGCUAACUACGUGCCAGCAGCCGCGGUAAUACGUAGGGUGCAAGCGUUAUCCGGAAUUAUUGGGCGUAAAGGGCUCGUAGGCGGUUCGUCGCGUCCGGUGUGAAAGUCCAUCGCUUAACGGUGGAUCCGCGCCGGGUACGGGCGGGCUUGAGUGCGGUAGGGGAGACUGGAAUUCCCGGUGUAACGGUGGAAUGUGUAGAUAUCGAAAA